rnacentral:lncRNA from 1 species
CGUCGAUUCUGAGUGCGGCGAGUUGAGGGUUUCGUUGCAGCUUGUCAAUAAUGGCUUAUCACUUGGGCUCUUCCAUGUCUAUGAUAAAAAAUUAAAAAAGAAGCUUCUGGGUAGAUUCACAAAAGAGAACAAGAUGAAUUCUACGUAGGAUCGCAAGCUGCGUUUUGCUUUCCGCUAACGUUCCACUAGGCCCUCCUGCUUCUCCUCGUGAUUGUUGCUUUGAAUUCUACUUCGUCCCAAAGUCACAUGUCCUGGUUUGUCGGGUGGAUGCCCCGUCGAUUUCAAUCGUAGUCGUUG